CCUGAGUUCUGAUUAUUGUGUCAAAACUACUCACAGAAUGCUGGUUCCUGGUAUUCCACAGACUGUAAUGCAAUUGAAGGAUUGAAGGUAGGGACUGAACCUCAUGCAUCUGUGAGUUCACAGCAUCUACAAAGCUUGGUGUGCAGUUGUAGGGAUGUAUAUGUGAACUCUUGGUUAGCGGAGUGCAAAAACACUGAAUUUAAAUUUAAAAGAUGAAGCUUAGGUGUUGACUCCAUCAUUUAUCAGCUGUGUGACUUUGGGGCCCAUGGGACACCGUAGUGGAGCUGUCCAACAGGUGCUUGUUUAUAUCAGUCUGGCGGUCUUGUUCAGUUUGCUGUGUUCUCUACUGCCAUCUGGUGGUCAAGAAGGAUCAAUCACUGCCCUUGCAAUGAAGAACUCUAUGAAAGCGAAGGCUUGGCCAUUUUGUGUUCAGCUCCUUCCAGUAAAUACUCCAUGGCAUGAUUAUUUAUUUUUCCUUUUCUCUUAUUCAUAAAUCAGAGUGGCUGUUUGAACUUAACCACCCUUAUCAAAAUCUUUAGUGAUGACAGAUCAUGUGACAGAUUAGACCUGGAAGCCCAUGAGAAGUGUACGUGGACUCUUUUUCUCCACUUGGAUAUCUUUAUAGUGUACAUUUUCUCAAUCGUGUUCAGACAUUUUCAGAACUUGACAAUCCCAGAGGCAUUUACCCAGGAGGGAAGGACAUUCAAAAGAAAAAUGGCAGAAGACAUGAAGAUGAGAAAAUUCAGGCUCAGAGAAGAUAAAUCAACACAGCUGGAAAGUGGCAGAAACAGGAUUUGCACAGCUUCAAAGUCCUCCAUGAGUUCUUUCAAGGAGGCUGAACUCCCUGAAAUCAGGCUGUGCACAA
rnacentral:lncRNA from 10 species